rfam:Peniophora sp. CONT PENSPscaffold_20_Cont32, whole genome shotgun sequence.
GGUCCUGUAGUGUAGUGGUUAUCACAGCGGAUUCUGACCUCAAGAUUAUUCCGCUAACCCAGGUUCGAGUCCUGGCAGGACCU